rnacentral:rRNA from 1 species
CCUACGGUGCGCAGCAGUGGGGAAUAUUGCGCAAUGGGGGAAACCCUGACGCAGCAACGCCGCGUGAGUUAGGAAGUAUCUCGGUAUGUAAAGCUCUAUCAGCGGGGAAGAAGGAAGACGGUACCCGACUAAGAAGCCCCGGCUAACUACGUGCCAGCAGCCGCGGUAAUACGUAGGGGGCGAGCGUUAUCCGGAUUUAUUGGGUUUAAAGGGUGCGCAGGCGGAAGAUCAAGUCAGCGGUAAAAUUUAGAGGCUCAAGCUCUUAGAGCCGUUGAAACUGGUUUUCUUGAGUGAGUGAGAAGUAUGCGGAAUGCGGGGGGUAGCGGUGAAAUGCAUAGAUAUCACGCAGAACUCCGAUUGCGAAGGCAGCAUACCGGCGCUCAACUGACGCUCAUGCACGAAAGUGUGGGUAUCGAACAGGAUUAGAUACCCCUGUAGUC